UUUAAUGAUAAUAACUUAUGACAAGCAAAACGUGUUAUUAAACGGGCAUUAACUUGUUAAUUCGCCUAAGUAUUUACGAGUCCAAAUAACUAUUCCUAUGUGUGUAAAUAUAUUUAUAUAUGUGUAAAUAUAUUUAUAUAUCACACACACCCAUAUAUACGUACAUACAAAUAUUACUUCCAUAUUUUUUAGAGAAAAAUUAGAUCUCUACCACCACACACUUACACUUAGAUUAUUAUAGUCUAAGGACCAUCCCUUGUACUUUAACAUUUGAUGCCCUACUAACUCAAUCCCCAUGACUGUUUGUGUGAAUAUGACAAGACAAAUGAAUGGCACCAUGACAUGAUGCGUAAAACACUCUCCAAUAUUAUGAAUUCAAACACUCAACACACAUGCUUUCUGACAUAGUAUUGUUUACUCUAAACUUUUCUGGCCAAACUCACUCUAGACCUCAGGUUUGUGAAUAUAUUAUAAAAAAAAAAAGAAAAGAAAAGAGAAACCAUGCCUAAAAUACUUUGUACACUACAAUAACACUCAUAAGAACACUUCAACUCUCCAUCUCACUCAUCUCUCCUGGCCAAAACACACCAACACGUUCAUCUUUUUCAAUCUCUACACACAGACAUAACACAGCCAAACACCCCCCCCCCCCAUCUUCUUCUCGAUCUGUUUGGUCAGGAUGACCGGAGCCGGAACCUCACCGGCCUCCCUCUUGCUUCUCAGACGACAACAACACCCACCACCUUCUGGUGGUGGCGAGUAGCGGGCGACAACAAGAUCGGAAGAGCCGACGAGAGAGAGAGAGAGAGAUUGAGGGAGAGAAGAUAGAGAGAGUUAGUGUCGGCGGCUGACCAGCGACGUAACUCCGACGGCGGCGGCGGGUGUCUCUCGACGGCAGUAGACGCCGGCGACGGUGAGAACGGCGGUGGUGAUGAAUCGCAGCUCGAGUUCUGGUACGAUGUUCGGGUUUCGCGGCACGUUCAAGUUCAGGUCAGGUCAGAAGUUGUAUUGGGCUCGGGUCACUUGGUUCAUGUUGUUCAGAUUUCGAGUUGGGGAUUCAACGCGGUUCAGGUUCGGGCCUUCUCGGGAAAGAUUCAUGCUCAACAUCUGAUUUCGGUUCAACAUCAGGCUCGGGCAUCUGUUCGGAUGACGUUCGGUCAGAUCUGUUCAGGUCGGGUCGGGUUUAGCGGCACGGCCCGACUAGGGUCAACUUAAGGGCGCUUCGGGUUGGUUUGGUUUGAGAUGAGUCACGGUCAAAAUGUUCGGAUCAGGAUCAUGCUCAUCGAUUCUAUUCUAGUUCAGGUUUCGUUUGAUUUUGAGUCGGGUUAAACUCAUCGGUUCAAGUGUGAUGUUGGUUUCAGCUUCAAUCAGGGGUCGAGACGCGGGUUCGAGUCAGCGGGUCAGACCCCGGUCAACAACAGGUCAAACCGAGUUGACUCGGUCAACACCCGAGUCAACUCAGGUCAACAGACGGUCAACUGAGGUCAACUCAGUCAACGAAUGCUUUAGUUGCACGCUAGCGAGUUCACAUUCUUGGAACUACAUCACGGAAACACAUUUAGCUAGCUUUGCACAGGAAUGUCCAGGUUGCAUUCUACAAACUACGGAACGGUUGGAAUAGAAGAACCCAUGGGAAUUCGAGUACUUAGCGGCCGUUCACUGUUUAGAAGACUUAGCUCAAAUACUUCCGCUGUGCAAUGAAGAUACCAGUCCAGUCACGCCAAUGCUCUGAUAUUUCGGGGUGUGACACUUCAGAUCUUUGACGCCCUACUCUAUUACAUUACACCCUCACCUUGUGUUGUAUAAUUGGUCUAGAACAGUGAAUUCAAAGAAACUAACAAACCUGGAACCGAAUUAAAAUUGCAAAGUUUGUGAUAAAACAUGGAUUAAUCUCUGAAUCGUAUGAGAACUAUCAGAUAAACCUAUUUGCGGGUUACACCCAAUGAUUUAUCGGAUUAGACAAAGAUCAUUGUUGUUGGAAUUGAAUUUGGUUGAAUCUGUGAAUGAGAAUACCACUAUCUCCUGUAA